UACGUAGGGUGCAAGCGUUAAUCGGAAUUACUGGGCGUAAAGCGUGCGCAGGCGGUUUUGUAAGUCUGUCGUGAAAAUCCCCGGGCUCAACCUGGGAAUUGCGAUGGAGACUGCAAGGCUAGAAUCUGGCAGAGGGGGGUAGAAUUCCACGUGUAGCAGUGAAAUGCGUAGAGAUGUGGAGGAACACCGAUGGCGAAGGCAGCCCCCUGGGUCAAGAUUGGACGC
rnacentral:rRNA from 1 species